GGUAAAAUGGCUGAAUUAAUAGGUGAUAAAUUGUAAAUUUAUUUAUGAGAAAAAAUCUCUUUUACCA
rnacentral:tRNA from 1 species